GUGGGGAAUAUUGGACAAUGGGGGGAACCCUGAUCCAGCCAUGCCGCGUGUGUGAAGAAGGCCUUUUGGUUGUAAAGCACUUUAAGCGAGGAGGAGGCUUACCUGGUUAAUACCUAGGAUAAGUGGACGUUACUCGCAGAAUAAGCACCGGCUAACUCUGUGCCAGCAGCCGCGGUAAUACAGAGGGUGCGAGCGUUAAUCGGAUUUACUGGGCGUAAAGCGCGCGUAGGUGGUUAAUUAAGUCAAAUGUGAAAUCCCCGAGCUUAACUUGGGAAUUGCAUUCGAUACUGGUUAGCUAGAGUAUGGGAGAGGAUGGUAGAAUUCCAGGUGUAGCGGUGAAAUGCGUAGAGAUCUGGAGGAAUACCGAUGGCGAAGGCAGCCAUCUGGCCUAAUACUGACACUGAGGUGCGAAAGCAUGGGGAGCAAACAGGAUUAGAAACCCCGGUAGUCC
rnacentral:rRNA from 1 species